UUGAACGCUGGCGGCAGGCCUCACACAUGCAAGUCGAACGGUAACAGGAAGCAGCUUGCUGCUUCGCUGACGAGUGGCGGACGGGUGAGUAAUGUCUGGGAAGCUGCCUGAUGGAGGGGGAUAACUACUGGAAACGGUAGCUAAUACCGCAUAAUGUCGCAAGACCAAAGGGGGGGACCUUCGGGCCUCUUGCCAUCGGAUGUGCCCAGAUGGGAUUAGCUUGUUGGUGGGGUAACGGCUCACCAAGGCGACGAUCCCUAGCUGGUCUGAGAGGAUGACCAGCCACACUGGAACUGAGACACGGUCCAGACUCCUACGGGAGGCAGCAGUGGGGAAUAUUGCACAAUGGGCGCAAGCCUGAUGCAGCCAUGCCGCGUGUAUGAAGAAGGCCUUCGGGCUGUAAAGUACUUUCAGCGGGGAGGAAGGGAGUAAAGUUAAUACCUUUGCUCAUUGACGUUGCCCGCAGAAGAAGCACCGGCUAACUCCGUG
rnacentral:rRNA from 1 species